GACGAACGCUGGCGGCGUGCUUAACACAUGCAAGUCGAACGGACAGGCCCUGCGUUUGUGGGGUGCUCGAGUGGCGAACGGGGGAGUAAAACGCGAGUAAACCGCCCUUGACUUUGGGGUAAAUUCAGGAAAAUGGGGCGAAUACCGGAUAGGAGCUCCUGAAGCAUGGGGGGGGUUGGAAAGAUUCGGCGGUGGUGGAUGGAAUCGCGGCUUAUGAGCUUGUUGGUGGGGUAGUGGAGUACCAAGGCUUUGACGGGUAGCCGGCCUGGGAGGGUGACCGGGCACCUUGGGCCUGCGAGACGCCGCAGACUCCUACGGGCGGCAGAAGUCGAGAGUAUUGCGCAAUGGGCCCACGCCUGAUGCAACAGCGCCGCGUUCGUGAUGCCGUCCUUCGGGUUGUAAACCACUUUCGCCUGUGACAAAGCGUUAUUGACGGUACUGGGUAAGAAAGCACCGGCUAACUACGUG
rnacentral:rRNA from 1 species